rnacentral:rRNA from 1 species
CGGGACGGGUGAGUAACGCGUGGAUAACCUGCCUCACACUGGGGGAUAACAGUUAGAAAUGGCUGCUAAUACCGCAUAAGCGCACAGUACCGCAUGGUACGGUGUUGAAAAACUACCGGUGGUGUGAGAUGGAUCCGCGUCUGAUUAGUUAGUUGGCGGGGUAACGGCCCACCAGACAGCGAUCAGUAGCCGACCUGAGAGGGUGACCGGCCACAUUGGGACUGAGACACGGCCCAA